AGUGAACGCUGGCGGUAGGCCUAACACAUGCAAGUCGAACGGCAGCACAGUAAGAGCUUGCUCUUACGGGUGGCGAGUGGCGGACGGGUGAGGAAUACAUCGGAAUCUUCUUUUUCGUGGGGGAUAACGUAGGGAAACUUACGCUAAUACCGCAUACGACCUACGGGUGAAAGCAGGGGAUCUUCGGACCUUGCGCGAUUGAAUGAGCCGAUGUCGGAUUAGCUAGUUGGCGGGGUAAAGGCCCACCAAGGCGACGAUCCGUAGCUGGUCUGAGAGGAUGAUCAGCCACACGGGAACUGAGACACGGUCCAGACUCCUACGGGAGGCAGCAGUGGGGAAUAUUGGACAAUGGGCGCAAGCCUGAUCCAGCCAUACCGCGUGGGUGAAGAGGGCCUUCGGGUUGUAAAGCCCUUUUGUUGGGAAAGAAAAGCAGCAGGUUAAUACCCCGCUGUUCUGACGGUACCCAAAGAAGAAGCACCGGCUAACUUCGUG
rnacentral:rRNA from 1 species